rnacentral:rRNA from 1 species
UUGACCUCGGAUCAGGUAGGAUACCCGCUGAACUUAAGCAUAUCAAUAAGCGGAGGAAAAGAAACCAACAGGGAUUGCCCUAGUAACGGCGAGUGAAGCGGCAACAGCUCAAAUUUGAAAUCUGGCCCCAGGCCCGAGUUGUAAUUUGCAGAGGAUGCUUCGGGCGCGGUGCCUUCCAAGUCCCCUGGAACGGGGCGCCAUGGAGGGUGAGAGCCCCGUAUGGUCGGACACCAAGCCUAUGUGAAGCUCCUUCGACGAGUCGAGUAGUUUGGGAAUGCUGCUCUAAAUGGGAGGUAGACCCCUUCUAAAGCUAAAUACCGGCUAGAGACCGAUAGCGCACAAGUAGAGUGAUCGAAAGAUGAAAAGAACUUUGAAAAGAGGGUUAAACAGCACGUGAAAUUGUUAAAAGGGAAGCGCUUGUGACCAGACUUGCGCCGGGGCGAUCAUCUGGCGUUCUCGCCGGUGCACUCGCCCCGGCCCAGGCCAGCGUCGGUUCGGGAGGGGGGACAAGGACGUUGGGGACGUGGCUCCCCCGGGAGUGUUACAGCCCAGCGUGUCAUGCCCCCGCCCGGACCGAGGUUCGCGCUCUGCAAGGACGCUGGCGUAAUGGUCAUCAGCGGCCCGUCUUGAAACACGGACCAAGGAGUCGAGGUUCUGCGCGAGUGUUUGGGUGCCAAACCCGCACGCGUAAUGAAAGUGAACGUAGGUGGGAGCCUCGGCGCACCACCGACCGAUCCUGAUGUUUUCGGAUGGAUUUGAGUACGAGCGUUGGGCCUCGGACCCGAAAGAUGGUGAACUAUGCUUGGAUAGGGUGAAGCCAGAGGAAACUCUGGUGGAGGCUCGCAGCGGUUCUGACGUGCAAAUCGAUCGUCAAAUCUGAGCAUGGGGGCGAAAGACUAAUCGAACCAUCUAGUAGCUGGUUACCGCCGAAGUUUCCCUCAGGAUAGCAGUGUUGUUUUCAGUUUUAUGAGGUAAAGCGAAUGAUUAGGGACUCGGGGGCGCUAUUUAGCCUUCAUCCAUUCUCAAACUUUAAAUAUGUAAGAAGCCCUUGUUGCUUAAUUGAACGUGGGCAUUCGAAUGUAUCAACACUAGUGGGCCAUUUUUGGUAAGCAGAACUGGCGAUGUGGGAUGAACCAUACGCGAGGUUAAGGUGCCGGAGUGGACGCUCAUCAGACACCA